rfam:Schistosoma curassoni strain Dakar, Senegal genome assembly, scaffold: SCTD_scaffold0003029
GCACUGCCGAGUAGUCCCACAAUAGGACGAAACGGCCGUCCAGUGC